rnacentral:rRNA from 1 species
GAAACUUGUGCUAAUACCGUAUACGCCCUACGGGGGAAAGAUUUAUCGCUAUUGGAUGGGCCCGCGUUGGAUUAGUUUGUUGGUGAGGUAACGGCUCACCAAGGCUACGAUCCAUAGCUGGUCUGAGAGGAUGAUCAGCCACACUGGGACUGAGACACGGCCCAGACUCCUACGGGAGGCAGCAGUGGGGAAUAUUGGACAAUGGGGGAAACCCUGAUCCAGCCAUGCCGCGUGAGUGAAGAAGGCCCUAGGGUUGUAAAGCUCUUUCGCUAGGGAAGAUAAUGACGGUACCUAGUAAAGAAGCCCCGGCUAACUUCGUGCCAGCAGCCGCGGUAAUACGAAGGGGGCUAGCGUUGUUCGGAAUUACUGGGCGUAAAGCGCACGUAGGCGGAUUGUUAAGUUAGAGGUGAAAUCCCGGGGCUCAACCCCGGAACUGCCUUUGAUACUGGCAGUCUAGAGACUGGAAGAGGUGAGUGGAAUUCCGAGUGUAGAGGUGAAAUUCGUAGAUAU